rnacentral:rRNA from 1 species
GUGUGUGUGUGUAUCAUGUUGAAUGCACUAGUUUUUGUCCGAUUACCGAAUUGAAGCAACGUCGAGCUUAGUGAGUACUUAGAUGGGUGACCGCUUGGGAAACUUAGGGGCUGUAAGCA